UACAGAGGUCCCAAGCGUUGUUCGGAUUCAUUGGGCGUAAAGGGUGUGUAGGUGGCGCCGUAAGUCGGGUGUGAAAUUUCGGAGCUUAACUCCGAAACUGCAUUCGAUACUGCGGUGCUUGAGGACUGGAGAGGAGACUAGAAUUCAUGGUGUAGCGGUGAAAUGCGUAGAGAUCAUGAGGAAGACCAGUGGCGAAGGCGGGUCUCUGGACAGUUCCUGACACUGAGACACGAAGGCCAGGGGAGCAAACGGG
rnacentral:rRNA from 1 species